GGACCACACUUGGGGAAUCAUUGGUCUGAGAAGCACUUUGAAACCACUGUAAUCAAUGACCAACUCCCCCAUGAUGUUCAGAGUCCAGACAUGCACACAGGUGACAUUGGAGGAACAACCGGAGCACCUUAGAACCAUCUGCCACAUGAGAGUGAGUUGGUAGCCCACUACGUGAAUCUGUCUCCACAUUGGGAAGAAGGAAAGAACAUUGGAUCUGGAGCAUGAAGACCUGGGUCUUGAAGCUGCGAUUUACAUCCUCUUGGGGCAUUUCUGAACCUCUCCAAGCCUCAGUUUCAAUGUGUGAACUUCAUGAUUCACAUGAAGUUAGUCCUGUUUUCUGACCUACCAGAGCUCCUCCAGCUCCGACUACUUGGGACGGUUGUUAAGACUGAAUUCAUAUGUAUAAAGCAGUUAAAAGAAUUCCUGCCUAACGGUAAGAGCUCUAAAGAUGUUUGAUUUUCUGAUUUGAUGUUAUCAUCAGUGAAGGAAAACAUCUAAUUUGAAAAUUGGAGAAUGAGACAAUGAGACAGAAAAAAAGUAACUGGGGAGAAGACACAGGAAGAUAAAAACCAUACCAAAAACUAUCGUUAAUAUAACCUCAGAGAUAAGAGGAGAUAGAACAUCCUUGAAAUAAGAGCUGGACACUAUCAAAAUGAAGACAAAAAAAAAAUCAGAAAACAAGAGCAUGUUUCUGGAAAUGUAAAAUAUCAGUCUGGGAGUUCCCGUCAUGGCUCAGCAGAAACAAAUCUGACUAGCAUCCAUAAGGACGCAGGUUCAAUCUCUGCCCUCGCUCAGUGGGUUAAGGACCAGGCAUUUUGGUGCGUUGUAGGUCGCAGAUGCAGCUCGGAUCCUGAGUUGCANGACUAGCAUCCAUAAGGACGCAGGUUCAAUCUCUGCCCUCACUCAGUGGGUUAAGGACCAGGCAUUUUGGUGAGUUGUAGGUCGCAGAUGCAGCUCGGAUCCUGAGUUGCUGCGGCUGUGGUGUAGGCCGGCAGCUGUAGCUCGGAUUUGACCCCUAGCCUGGGAACCUUCAUGUGCCAUGGUGUGGCAAAAAAAAAAAAAAAGAAUAAAAAAUUUCAGUCUGAAGCA
rnacentral:lncRNA from 1 species